rnacentral:rRNA from 1 species
GGCGUGCCUAAACAUGCAAGUCGAGCGAACGGACGAGAAGCUUGCUUCUCUGAUGUUAGCGGCGGACGGGUGAGUAACACGUGGAUAACCUACCUAUAAGACUGGGAUAACUUCGGGAAACCGGAGCUAAUACCGGAUAAUAUUUUGAACCGCAUGGUUCAAAAGUGAAAGACGGUCUUGCUGUCACUUAUAGAUGGAUCCGCGCUGCAUUAGCUAGUUGGUAAGGUAACGGCUUACCAAGGCAACGAUGCAUAGCCGACCUGAGAGGGUGAUCGGCCACACUGGAACUGAGACACGGUCCAGACUCCUACGGGAGGCAGCAGUAGGGAAUCUUCCGCAAUGGGCGAAAGCCUGACGGAGCAACGCCGCGUGAGUGAUGAAGGUCUUCGGAUCGUAAAACUCUGUUAUUAGGGAAGAACAUAUGUGUAAGUAACUGUGCACAUCUUGACGGUACCUAAUCAGAAAGCCACGGCUAACUACGUGCCAGCAGCCGCGGUAAUACGUAGGUGGCAAGCGUUAUCCGGAAUUAUUGGGCGUAAAGCGCGCGUAGGCGGUUUUUUAAGUCUGAUGUGAAAGCCCACGGCUCAACCGUGGAGGGGUCAUUGGAAACUGGAAAACUUUGAGUGCAGA